rnacentral:rRNA from 1 species
GAUGAACGCUGGCGGCGUGCUUAACACAUGCAAGUCGAACGCGCAUCCCUUGAACUUCGGUGAGAGGGAGGGCAAGUGGCGAACGGGUGAGUAACACGUAGGAACCUGCCCUGGAGUGGGGGAAAACGGCUGGAAACGGUCGCUAAUCCCGCAUAGUCUCCUUCGGGAGUAAAGCUUUAGCGCUUCAGGAAGGGCCUGCGGCCUAUCAGGUAGUUGGUGGGGUAAUGGCCUACCAAGCCGAUGACGGGUAGGGGGCGUGAGAGCGCGACCCCCCACACGGAACUGAGACACGGUCCCGACGCCUACGGGCGGCAGCAGU